CCAGUAGACCUUACCCGGGAGGCAACAGCAAAGCUUGGGAGUGGGACCCGGUGAAGGUCACCUCUGGGCCCGAAUGUGAUGCUCUAGCUACAGGACGGUGAUGGCACCGUGGACGAGGACCCCAACGAAGACCGUCUCUGCGCGUCCUGCGUCAACAUUUGUGCCUCCGACUCCGGGGGCAACCUUUCCCGCGGCAGGAAAACCGAAAUCCGCGGCAAUCUAUGCGAAGUAGAAACGCACAGAGAUGGCCAUUUCCCGUCUGCUGGCCAGGGGAGUUGACCCUGCAGCCUUCCCACUGCAUGCACUGGAGAUGACCCAAGCUCAGCUCUCUCCCACUGCUGGGGCAUCAGGAGGGAACCCUGCAGCCCUCCCUCCUUUCAUCUGCCUGGGGCCCUUUGACCCGCCCAGG